CAGCAGCCGCGGUAAAACGGAGGGAGCUAGCGUUGUUCGGAAUUACUGGGCGUAAAGCGCACGUAGGCGGUUAUUCAAGUCAGAGGUGAAAGCCCAGUGCUCAACACUGGAACUGCCUUUGAAACUAGAUAACUUGAAUCCAGGAGAGGUGAGUGGAAUUCCGAGUGUAGAGGUGAAAUUCGUAGAUAUUCGGAAGAACACCAGUGGCGAAGGCGGCUCACUGGACUGGUAUUGACGCUGAGGUGCGAAAGCGUGGGGAGCAAACAGGAUUAGAUACCCCCGUAGUCCCUGUCUCUUAUAC
rnacentral:rRNA from 1 species